CACACGACUCUCGGCAACGGAUAUCUCGGCUCUCGCAUCGAUGAAGAACGUAGCGAAAUGCGAUACCUGGUGUGAAUUGCAGAAUCCCGCGAACCAUCGAGUCUUUGAACGCAAGUUGCGCCCGAGGCCCUUCGGGCCGAGGGCACGCCUGCCUGGGCGUCACGC
rnacentral:rRNA from 1 species